AGUCGAGCGGUAGAGAGGUGCUUGCACCUCUUGAGAGCGGCGGACGGGUGAGUAAUACCUAGGAAUCUGCCUGGUAGUGGGGGAUAACGUUCGGAAACGGACGCUAAUACCGCAUACGUCCUACGGGAGAAAGCAGGGGACCUUCGGGCCUUGCGCUAUCAGAUGAGCCUAGGUCGGAUUAGCUAGUUGGUGAGGUAAUGGCUCACCAAGGCUACGAUCCGUAACUGGUCUGAGAGGAUGAUCAGUCACACUGGAACUGAGACACGGUCCAGACUCCUACGGGAGGCAGCAGUGGGGAAUAUUGGACAAUGGGCGAAAGCCUGAUCCAGCCAUGCCGCGUGUGUGAAGAAGGUCUUCGGAUUGUAAAGCACUUUAAGUUGGGAGGAAGGGCAUUAACCUAAUACGUUAGUGCUUUGACGUUACCGACAGAAUAAGCACCGGCUAACUCUGUGCCAGCAGCCGCGGUAAUACAGAGGGUGCAAGCGUUAAUCGGAAUUACUGGGCGUAAAGCGCGCGUAGGUGGUUUGUUAAGUUGAAUGUGAAAUCCCCG
rnacentral:rRNA from 2 species